UACGUAGGGUGCGAGCGUUAAUCGGAAUUACUGGGCGUAAAGCGUGCGCAGGCGGUUCUGCAAGUCAGAUGUGAAAUCCCCGGGCUUAACCUGGGAACUGCGUUUGAAACUACGGAGCUAGAGUGCGGCAGAGGGGGGUGGAAUUCCGCGUGUAGCAGUGAAAUGCGUAGAGAUGCGGAGGAACACCGAUGGCGAAGGCAGCCCUCUGGGCUAACACUGACGCUGAGGCACGAAAGCGUGGGGAGCAAACAGG
rnacentral:rRNA from 1 species